rnacentral:sRNA from 1 species
GCAACGCUCUCUGGCUUCGGUCAGCUGAGUUCAAUGAGUGCCUUCUCUUCGGAGUUGGCCAUCCACACACACCGUGAACUGUGGCUUCGGCCAUCACAAACUGUUAGUAAUGAAUGUAAUAUCAUAACAAAAACAAAACUUUUAACAACGGAUCUCUUGGCUCUCGCAUCGAUGAAGAACGCAGCGAAAUGCGAUAAGUAAUGUGAAUUGCAGAAUUCAGUGAAUCAUCGAAUCUUUGAACGCACCUUGCGCCCUUUGGUAUUCCGAAGGGCAUGCCUGUUUGAGUGUCAUGAAACCUCACCCCACUUGGGUUUUUGCCUGAGCGGUGGUGUAUUGGGUGUUGCCUUGCCAAAGGCUCGCCUUAAAAACAUAAGCACCUUGGAUGUAAUACGUUUCAUCCUUUCGGGUGGCUGAUAACCCCACAUAUUCAUGAUCGGCGAGUGAACCGGGAUGAGCUCAAAUUUGAAAUCUGGCGUCUUUCAGGCGUCCGAGUUGUAAUCUAUAGAGGCGUUUUCCGCGCCGGACCGCGUCCAAGUCUCUUGGAAUAGAGUAUCAAAGAGGGUGACAAUCCCGUACUUGACGCGACAACCGGUGCUCUGUGAUACGUUCUCAAUGAGUCGAGUUGUUUGGGAAUGCAGCUCUAAAUGGGUGGUAAAUUCCAUCUAAGGCUAAAUAUUGGCGAGAGACCGAUAGCGAACAAGUACCGUGAGGGAAAGAUGAAAAGCACUUUGGAAAGAGAGUUAAACAGCACGUGAAAUUGUUAAAAGGGAAACGAUUGAAGUCAGUCGUGUGGGAAGUAUUCAGCCGUCUCUGGCGGUGUAUUUGCUUCUCACGGGUCAACAUCAGUUUGAUCCGGUAGAAAAAGGCUGGAAGAAGGUGGCACCCUCGGGUGUGUUAUAGCUUCCUGUCAUAUGUGCCGGACCAGACUGAGGAACGCAGCUUGCAGCAAUGCCGGGAUUCGUCCACGUACAAGCUUAGGAUGUUGACAUAAUGGCUUUAAACGACCCGUCUUGAAACACGGACCAAGGAGUCUAACAUAUCUGCGAGUGUUUGGGUGUCAAACCCAAGCGCGAAAUGAAAGUGAACGUAGGANGGAUGCGCAAGCAGCACCUUCGACCGAUCCGGAAGUAUUCUGAUGGAUUUGAGUAAGAGCAUA